UUUAUAAGGUUUAGGAUGUUUUGUAGUUUCCAAACCCAGUUUAUCAACAAACAAGGUACUAGCCACAUUUACACAACUACCCCCAUCAAUAAUCAUGCUACACAAUUUUUCAUUCACUAGACAUCAAGAAUGAAAAAUGUUCUCUCUUCGCAACUUAACCCCCUCAUCAUCAUUCCUUACUUGCGUAUUCAAAGCACGCCUAGAAACCAACAAUCUA
rnacentral:lncRNA from 1 species